AACCUAGCACACCUGCGGUGUGUACCUGCGGAGGGAUCAUUACUGAGUGAGGGCCUUCGGGCUCGACCUCCAACCCUUUGUGAACACAACUUGUUGCUUCGGGGGCGACCCUGCCGUUUCGACGGCGAGCGCCCCCGGAGGCCUUCAAACACUGCAUCUUUGCGUCGGAGUUUAAGUAAAUUAAACAAAACUUUCAACAAUGGAUCU
rnacentral:misc_RNA from 1 species